rnacentral:rRNA from 1 species
AGAGUUUGAUCCUGGCUCAGGACGAACGCUGGCGGCGUGCCUAACACAUGCAAGUCGAACGGAGAAUUUUAUUUCGGUAGAAUUCUUAGUGGCGAACGGGUGAGUAACGCGUAGGCAACCUGCCCUUUAGACGGGGACAACAUUCCGAAAGGAGUGCUAAUACCGGAUGUGAUCAUCGUGCCGCAUGGCAGGAUGAAGAAAGAUGGCCUCUACAAGUAAGCUAUCGCUAAAGGAUGGGCCUGCGUCUGAUUAGCUAGUUGGUAGUGUAACGGACUACCAAGGCGAUGAUCAGUAGCCGGUCUGAGAGGAUGAACGGCCACAUUGGGACUGAGACACGGCCCAAACUCCUACGGGAGGCAGCAGUGGGGAAUCUUCCGCAAUGGACGAAAGUCUGACGGAGCAACGCCGCGUGAGUGAUGAAGGAUUUCGGUCUGUAAAGCUCUGUUGUUUAUGACGAACGUGCAGUGUGUGAACAAUGCAUUGCAAUGACGGUAGUAAACGAGGAAGCCACGGCUAACUACGUGCCAGCAGCCGCGGUAAUACGUAGGUGGCGAGCGUUGUCCGGAAUUAUUGGGCGUAAAGAGCAUGUAGGCGGCUUAAUAAGUCGAGCGUGAAAAUGCGGGGCUCAACCCCGUAUGGCGCUGGAAACUGUUAGGCUUGAGUGCAGGAGAGGAAAGGGGAAUUCCCAGUGUAGCGGUGAAAUGCGUAGAUAUUGGGAGGAACACCAGUGGCGAAGGCGCCUUUCUGGACUGUGUCUGACGCUGAGAUGCGAAAGCCAGGGUAGCGAACGGGAUUAGAUACCCCGGUAGUCCUGGCCGUAAACGAUGGGUACUAGGUGUAGGAGGUAUCGACCCCUUCUGUGCCGGAGUUAACGCAAUAAGUACCCCGCCUGGGGAGUACGGCCGCAAGGUUGAAACUCAAAGGAAUUGACGGGGGCCCGCACAAGCGGUGGAGUAUGUGGUUUAAUUCGACGCAACGCGAAGAACCUUA